rnacentral:lncRNA from 1 species
CCCUCGCCAUCUGCUGUGGACUCUGGUCUUUGGUUUUUGUGUUUCCAAGGCAGAAAUCUGGGCUACAACUAUCACGAGCAAAGUCUUUAUGAUAGAAGCAAACCUCUGAGGGACAAAGAUGAAGAGGCAGAUAAUUUUCUUCAGAGGGUGAGAAGAUGCAAGGACUGGUAACUGCAAACUUUCAAGGGAAGUAGCAUUUCUGUCCUACUUCAGAAGUAGCCAGGGAUAAAUGAGCUCCACCCUCAUGGACUACAGAUCCAAGUUCCUGGAGUUGCAACCAAUUAGUGCUGGCACAAGAGGUACCUGUUUAACUUUGAAGAGCUUUAAAAUUUCAGAAAUCACAGACAAGACUGUGCCUAAGUGGAGACAAGUAAAUAAAGCUUCCUCUCCCCAACGCCCUGUGCUCUGCACUAAUAGAGAUCCAGCUGCUGGGAGCAAUGAGAGCAGAGGUGAUGUUCGUGGGAUCAAUGCAACCCUGGAUUCUCUUGCCACCAGCCCUGCCUCCUGGGGAGCCAUUGAGUUAGUGGAAUCAGCAGUGGAAGAGAGGAUGAAAUGGUAUUGGCAUGCCUUCAUUCCCUCACACAUUAGCCAGCGGCGGCUUUCUUUUGUCCAUUUUCUGCUCACCUUCUUGUCUGUUUCGCUCGUCCUUUUUGUUUUACCUUCUGGUAUUUGUUUUCUUUCCCCCAGUUUCCAGAUAAUUCUAACCUGAUUUGCUCCCCCGUCCUCUCUUCUUUUAGUCCUUCCUUUCGCUGUAUUCCUGCCUCCUGCCUUGUUUUUAUUUUUUUGUUAUGAAAUACUGC